rnacentral:rRNA from 1 species
GACGAACGCUGGCGGCGUGCUUAACACAUGCAAGUCGAACGGAAAGGCCCUUCGGGGUACUCGAGUGGCGAACGGGUGAGUAACACGUGGGUGAUCUGCCCUGCACUUUGGGAUAAGCCUGGGAAACUGGGUCUAAUACCGGAUAGGACCACGGCAUGCAUGUGCUGUGGUGGAAAGCUUUUGCGGUGUGGGAUGGGCCCGCGGCCUAUCAGCUUGUUGGUGAGGUUACGGCUCACCAAGGCGACGACGGGUAGCCGGCCUGAGAGGGUGUCCGGCCACACUGGGACUGAGAUACGGCCCAGACUCCUACGGGAGGCAGCAGUGGGGAAUAUUGCACAAUGGGCGCAAGCCUGAUGCAGCGACGCCGCGUGAGGGAUGACGGCCUUCGGGUUGUAAACCUCUUUCGCCGGGGACGAAGCGCAAGUGACGGUACCUGGAGAAGAAGCACCGGCCAACUACGUGCCAGCAGCCGCGGUAAUACGUAGGGUGCGAGCGUUGUCCGGAAUUACUGGGCGUAAAGAGCUCGUAGGUGGUUUGUCGCGUUGUUCGUGAAAACUUACAGCUUAACUGUGGGCGUGCGGGCGAUACGGGCAGACUGGAGUACUGCAGGGGAGACUGGAAUUCCUGGUGUAGCGGUGGAAUGCGCAGAUAUCAGGAGGAACACCGGUGGCGAAGGCGGGUCUCUGGGCAGUAACUGACGCUGAGGAGCGAAAGCGUGGGGAGCGAACAGGAUUAGAUACCCUGGUAGUCCACGCCGUAAACGGUGGGUACUAGGUGUGGGUUUCCUUCCUUGGGAUCCGUGCCGUAGCUAACGCAUUAAGUACCCCGCCUGGGGAGUACGGCCGCAAGGCUAAAACUCAAAGGAAUUGACGGGGGCCCGCACAAGCGGCGGAGCAUGUGGAUUAAUUCGAUGCAACGCGAAGAACCUUACCUGGGUUUGACAUGCACAGGACGCCGGCAGAGAUGUCGGUUCCCUUGUGGCCUGUGUGCAGGUGGUGCAUGGCUGUCGUCAGCCCGUGUCGUGAGAUGUUGGGUUAGGUCCCGCAACGAGCGCAACCCUUGUCUCAUGUUGCCAGCACGUAAUGGUGGGGACUCGUGAGAGACUGCCGGGGUCAACUCGGAGGAAGGUGGGGAUGACGUCAAGUCAUCAUGCCCCUUAUGUCCAGGGCUUCACACAUGCUACAAUGGCCGGUACAAAGGGCUGCGAUGCCGUGAGGUGGAGCGAAUCCUUUCAAAGCCGGUCUCAGUUCGGAUCGGGGUCUGCAACUCGACCCCGUGAAGUCGGAGUCGCUAGUAAUCGCAGAUCAGCAACGCUGCGGUGAAUACGUUCCCGGGCCU